UGGCGGCAUGCCUAACACAUGCAAGUCGAACGGCAGCACGGGAGCUUGCUCCUGGUGGCGAGUGGCGGACGGGUGAGUAAUGCAUAGGAAUCUGCCCAGUAGCGGGGGACAACCCGGGGAAACUCGGGCUAAUACCGGAUACGUCGUCGGAGCUCUAGGGCUCUGACGGGAAAGGCCUGCAAGGGCUACCAGAGGACGAGCUCGCGGCCCAUCAGCUAGUUGGUGAGGUAAUGGCUCACCAAGGCGAAGACGGGUAGCUGGUCUGAGAGGAUGAUCAGCCACACUGGAACUGAGACACGGUCCAGACUCCUACGGGAGGCAGCAGUGGGGAAUAUUGCGCAAUGGGCGAAAGCCUGACGCAGCCACGCCGCGUGUGCGAUGAAGGUCUUCGGAUCGUAAAGCACUGUGGGGGGAGAAGAACAAAGCUGGUGAAGAGCCAGCCCUGACGGUAUCCCCUUAGCAAGCACCGGCUAACUCCGUG
rnacentral:rRNA from 1 species